AUUGUGUGCUAGAGGGGCUAGUAUAUGCUAGCUGAGAUUGAAAACAAUAUUUUCUGACUCUUAACACCUGAUCUGGUUAAUACCAGCGUAGGGAAGCAUUAAUUUAUGAAA
rnacentral:ncRNA from 1 species